rnacentral:rRNA from 1 species
UACGAAGGGGGCUAGCGUUGUUCGGAUUUACUGGGCGUAAAGCGCACGUAGGCGGGUCGUUAAGUCAGGGGUGAAAUCCUGGAGCUCAACUCCAGAACUGCCUUUGAUACUGGCGACCUUGAGUUCGGGAGAGGUGAGUGGAACUGCGAGUGUAGAGGUGAAAUUCGUAGAUAUUGGGAGGAACACCAGUGGCGAAGGCGGCUCACUGGACCGGUACUGACGCUGAAGCGCGAAAGCGUGGGGAGCAAACGGG